GGGGCUGGUGAGAUGGCUCAGUGGGUAAGAGCACCCGACUGCUCUUCCGAAGGUCUGAAGUUCAAAUCCCAGCAACCACAUGGUGGCUCACAACCACCCAUAAUGAGAUCUGAUGCCCUCUUCUGGUGCAUCUGAAGACAGCUACAGUGUACUUACAUAUAAUAAAUAAAUAAAUAAAUAAAUAAAUAAAUCUUUAAAAAAAAAGAAAGAAAGGAGAAAAGAAAAAUCUUCAGAGGCAAUCUACAUUUGUCUGACUGUAAAGCCUGCAUUCUUUCUGCUGUACAAAGUUUCUUAAUAUAGGAAGGCAUACAGUUACGCAGCUUGGGUAGUCUAGAGCAGAUAGCCUCCAGUUCAAGAAGGCUUUAAGAAAACCGGGAGGGCUUUGUUUAACUUCCGAUAACACUGGUCAUCUGGAGCAUCAUUGAGCACUACUUGGUACCACUCUGUGGGAGGCAGUGAGAGGCUGAGGUUGAGGGAGAAGAGCCUAGUCUCCUUAUGGGAGAAGGGCAGUUCUUGACUUGGAGCUGUUGGGAGUCUGACAUUAACUGUUUCUUGUGGGCCUGUUUAUGGUGUCUUUAGGAAUGCCAGUGGUUGUGACCAAAAGCUCUUCUUGUUUUUUGUUUGCACCUGUGUGUUUCUAAAGAGCAGCGGCUCCUUUCUAUUUUUAACAGCUACUAUCAUCUGAUAGGUUUGAGAGCUUUUCUUACCUUCCUGUUUCAGUUGGCCCUUCAGUAAGGCUUGAACAGCUCAAGGAGCAAAGAAUGCUACUUGCAGUGACUGGCAGAGGACAUGCCACUUUCGUGUGCCCCCACUCUGUCUUCUUUCUGCUGAGGCUAGUGUAGGAUGUGGUCCAUGGAUGGAUGGAUAGAUCGGUGAAAGAGCUUAGUUUCUGUCUUUGAAUCCCCUGUGUUUGGGAUCCAGGCCAGGGCCCGCAUUCAUGGUAAACAUUCUGUCACAGAGUCACAUCCUACCUCCAAAUCCUUGGUCAUAGCCUUGGUAGUGUCUGUGGUAAAGAAAUAUAUUGGCAAUUUCAUCUCUUUUUUUUUUUCCCUUUACCUUUCUUUCUUUCUUUCUUUCUUUCUUUCUUCCUUUCUUUUUCUCUUUGACAUUAAUUUGGUGAUGUCUGAAUUCCCUUAAAAAAUCAUCUGCUUUUAACAGGACUUGUUAGAAUUUGAUAAGUGACUUUGCCGUAAUCAUGCGUUCAAGCAGAUGGCUGAAAUGGCUUCCAUGAAGAUGGGUCUCAGUAUGAAACCUGCACCGGUUUAAUGUUGCAUGGAAAUAACGAUGCAGGGUCUUUCCCGCUGUGAAAUGCUCCACUUACCCAUGUCGUAUCCACAGAUACUGUACUGUCUACUUCUCUUCUAAAUGUUUCCCAUCCUUGGAGAGUUUGUUCCUUCUACCUCCCUCUAUGUCUGACUGGCCAACAUUCUCACUGGAGGAAUUAGAAAUGUGUGGCUGUCACUAGAACCACAGCAUACCUGUUGGAAUAUAUUUUUCUGUGGAAGUAUCAUUAUUGGAGUCAAAGGCCAUGCGCUACUAUACGCUUCUCAUUAGGAUACUUAAGUACGUUUAAAAGUCAUGUUUUCUGAACUGUUUCAUGGUCUGCCUUCCAUUCUCCCAGCUUUUUUAUAGCCGUAUUGAUGAGUGACUAGGGCCUGAGGAGAGUGGGUGACAGAGUCCUCUGAGAUGAACACCUCAGGCAAGCUGCUUGAUUGACAUCUGUUGACAUCUGUUGGCAACUGCUAGCCAUUCCUGUUAGAUGUGGUUGAAUUGAGGGAAGAGAACAUUUGACCCCAUCCCUUUAGUCAUUUUGGAAGUUGGUUUUAUUUAUUGGCCCUGUUAUUUACUUCUGUUUGCUGGAUAUUUUCUGCCCACCUGUGAUAAGGUCCAGACAAGUUCACGCCCACCACUUGCCUUGGUGACUUAGGCUGUGGUCCAGCCCCAGACAGCAGCAUCUGGACCCCAGUGUACACGAGCGAUGCUAGGAACUGCUACUGCUUUACAAAUACCUGGGCGCGCGCGCAUGCCCAGAGUUAGCUCGCGUUUCUGAUGGCAAAACUGUCUUUUCUUUUCCUCAAAACUAAUGGC
rnacentral:lncRNA from 1 species